rnacentral:tRNA from 1 species
GGGCGUGACGCUUGUGGCGUAUUACUCUGCAAAGGUAUUAUAGGUAUUUCGAUGCCCCCGCCUU